GGUGAUAUAGAAAAUGCAGUGCAGGCAUGUGCUGCGAUGGAGCAGAAGGAACUCCUGGAAGAACUUGCAGAGUCUGUAGGUGCUCCCGCUGGCUGAUUUGCAAAAUUUUGUCACUUGCUACAAUACUCUCAAGUUGUUGAAACAGGGGAAAACCACUUGGAGGAAGUGCUGAUAAGCAAAUUGCUGCCGAAGUAAUCUUCUCAUAGCAACUUUCUUAAGACGGAUAUUCACAGGUCAAAUUUAUUUGUAUUUGUGGAUGCAAUCAGACGCCGUAUGCAUUUGGUAUUUACCAACAUCUAUAUGUACGGGACUAGCCACUUAAAUUGUAUCAUAUCAUAAUGUAUUGUAUGCUAUGAUUUCAGUUGAAUUGUAAAUUACUUUUAUUCAUUUAUGCCCAUGCUUCUAAUCUGAAAAAAAGUAAU
rnacentral:misc_RNA from 1 species